rnacentral:rRNA from 1 species
GACGAGGGCGCAAGCGUUUAUCCGGAAUUAUUGGGCGUAAAGAGCUCGUAGGCGGUUUGUCGCGUCUGCUGUGAAAACGCGAGGCUCAACCUCGCGCCUGCAGUGGGUACGGGCAGACUAGAGUGCGGUAGGGGAGAUUGGAAUUCCUGGUGUAGCGGUGGAAUGCGCAGAUAUCAGGAGGAACACCGAUGGCGAAGGCAGAUCUCUGGGCCGUAACUGACGCUGAGGAGCGAAAGCGUGGGGAGCGAACAGG